AUCCUUUUCCAGUUCAUAAGCAUAAUGAUUGGGUAUUGAACCGUUUGUGUGACAUGUGCCUCCCUUACAUUUUCUUAGGCACUUGGGACAUUUCCUAUCUGAUA